UACGUAGGCAGCGAGCGUUGUUCGGAGUUACUGGGCGUAAAGGGUGUGUAGGCGGUUGUUUAAGUUUGGUGUGAAAUCUCCCGGCUCAACUGGGAGGGUGCGCCGAAUACUGAAUGACUUGGAGUGCGGGAGAGGAGAGUGGAAUUCCUGGUGUAGCGGUGAAAUGCGUAGAUAUCGAGAGGAACACCUGCGGCGAAGGCGGGUUGCUGGGCUGACACUGACGCUGACAGCGCGAAAGCUAGGGGAGCGAACGGG
rnacentral:rRNA from 1 species